rnacentral:rRNA from 1 species
AUGAACGCUAGCUACAGGCUUAACACAUGCAAGUCGAGGGGCAGCAUGGUCUUAGCUUGCUAAGACUGAUGGCGACCGGCGCACGGGUGAGUAACACGUAUCCAACCUGCCGUCUACUCUUGGACAGCCUUCUGAAAGGAAGAUUAAUACAAGAUGGCAUCAUGAGUCCGCAUGUUCACAUGAUUAAAGGUAUUCCGGUAGACGAUGGGGAUGCGUUCCAUUAGAUAGUAGGCGGGGUAACGGCCCACCUAGUCUUCGAUGGAUAGAGGUUCUGAGAGGAAGGUCCCCCACAUUGGAACUGAGACACGGUCCAAACUCCUACGGGAGGCAGCAGUGAGGAAUAUUGGUCAAUGGGCGAGAGCCUGAACCAGCCAAGUAGCGUGAAGGAUGACUGCCCUAUGGGUUGUAAACUUCUUUUAUAAAGGAAUAAAGUCGGGUAUGGAUACCCGUUUGCAUGUACUUUAUGAAUAAGGAUCGGCUAACUCCGUGCCAGCAGCCGCGGUAAUACGGAGGAUCCGAGCGUUAUCCGGAUUUAUUGGGUUUAAAGGGAGCGUAGAUGGAUGUUUAAGUCAGUUGUGAAAGUUUGCGGCUCAACCGUAAAAUUGCAGUUGAUACUGGAUAUCUUGAGUGCAGUUGAGGCAGGCGGAAUUCGUGGUGUAGCGGUGAAAUGCUUAGAUAUCACGAAGAACUCCGAUUGCGAAGGCAGCCUGCUAAGCUGCAACUGACAUUGAGGCUCGAAAGUGUGGGUAUCAAACAGGAUUAGAUACCCUGGUAGUCCACACGGUAAACGAUGAAUACUCGCUGUUUGCGAUAUACUGCAAGCGGCCAAGCGAAAGCGUUCAGUAUUCCACCUGGGGAGUACGAUCGCAAGGUUGAAACUCAAAGGAAUUGACGGGGGCCCGCACAAGCGGUGGAUUAUGUGGUUUAAUUCGAAGCAACGCGAAGAACCUUACCUGCUCUUGACAUCUCCCUGACCGGCAAGUAAUGUUGCCUUUCCUUCGGGACGGGGAUGACAGGUGGUGCAUGGUUGUCGUCAGCUCGUGUCGUGAGAUGUUGGGUUAAGUCCCGCAACGAGCGCAACCCUUGUUGUCAGUUACUAACAGGUUCCGCUGAGGACUCUGACAAGACUGCCAUCGUAAGAUGUGAGGAAGGUGGGGAUGACGUCAAAUCAGCAUGGCCCUUACGUCCGGGGCUACACACGUGUUACAAUGGGGGGUACAGAGGGCCGCUACCACGCGAGUGGAUGCCAAUCCCCAAAACCUCUCUCAGUUCGGACUGGAGUCUGCAACCCGACUCCACGAAGCUGGAUUCGCUAGUAAUCGCGCAUCAGCCACGGCGCGGUGAAUACGUUCCCGGGCCUUGUACACACCGCCCGUCACGCCAUGGGAGUCGGUAACACCCGAAGCCUGUAGUCUAACCGCAAGGAGGACGCAGUCGAAGGUGGGAUUGAUGACUGGGGUG